AGGAGGGUAAACAACUGAUACAAAAAUUCUGUACCCACGAACCAUUCUGCAUUUCACUUUCAGUACAGUAUGCAACAACUUACAUGAGAUAUUCAACAAUGUAUUAUAAAAUAGGCCUGGGUUAGAUCAUUUUCCCAGCUCUAGGCUAAUGGAAGUGUUCUAAGUAUGUUUAAGGUAAGCUAGGCUAAGCUAUGGUGUUCAGUAUGUUAGGUGUACUAAAUCCAUUUUCAACUUAGGAUAUUUUCAACUUAUGAUGGGUUUCUUGGACUGGAACCCUACUGUAAGCUGACUAAGAUCUAUACUUAACAGAUGCCAUGGGAAGAGUUGCCUAUACUGCUGGAGACUAGGGUAAGAAAUUCUGAUAAGCUUUGAUCUAUGAAAACAGAUAAGAGAAAAUUAGCAGUCUGUCAAAAAGCAAUGAAACUUAAUGAGAGCUAGAAACAGUAUCUAUGGUCCUUUACAAAAUUUGAGUGCAGGGUACCCAUGUUUGAGUUCAAUAAACAUUAUUGGAGACUUAUCUGUAUUAUAUGCUAGACAGUUGGGAAGAUAUAGAAGGACAUAGUUCUUGACCUGAAGGACCUUAGAAGCUUUUAGGGAAGAGAUGACUCCUGUGGGGUGUGUGUGUGUGUAUAUAGGACAGUAAGUUGAUAUCAUCAGUGGGCGUAGAGGGGGUAAGGGAAGUUGCAGGUCAUCUGAAAGAUGUGUUGGAUCACCCAUUCUGGUCAAAGAACUUCUGCCUGCAUUUGCUGUUCUAUCUUUAUUCAAGCACUUCCCUUCUUUCCAAAAUGUCCUUGAGAACAAGGACUGUGCUUAUUAGCCUUUUUCUGAGUGCCUGUCAGUGCCUGCUAAGCAUAUGUUGGAUUUAAUGAAUAAUGAAUGGAUUAGCAGGUGAGGCUUUGUGAAAGAGGUGGGGAAGCAGGAUACGGAUAUGGGUUGGUAAAGUGAGGCUGGGAGUGGAAGGUAGAGGAAAUAUCCCAAACCCAAAGAAGGCCAUGCUGAUGAGCAUAUGUGCGGGGAAGAUAGUUGCUGUUAGGUUAUAUAAUAAAUUGGGAUGCAUUUCAGAACAGACUCAUUAGAUGGCAAGGAAGAGGAAACCCAGCUCAGAGUGGAUUAAACACCACCACGGAAUAACUCUAACUUUUCCAAAUGAGGAAAUGGCCCCCAUGCGAGAACUUGUGUUAGUGAAAGCAGAGUAGGAAGUUGUUUUGCCCCAUGAAGAGCUGAUUUCGUUGAUGUAGAGGCUCUUACUGCCCUAAGUAACUGAAUACCCCAGUCAAGGUACAAAUCUUCAGAUACCAUUUGAACCAGACAAUAGAGUGAUAUAACCAGUACUGGUUAUUUGCUCUUUGGGGCUCUGCCUUCCUGCCUGUGACAGCUAUUCUCAAGAUUGCACAGUGGCUCUGUGAGCUCCACACCUUACAAGUCCACAGUGGAGCGUGCCUCUCCAGUGUCGCUUGCAUCCGCAUGGCUUUGGUGGUGUUAUCUGCCCAUCUCAAAACCAAUCCCUGUAUCCAAGGAGUUGGGAUGUGCUGUUUGCCUUUCAUCUGUCUGGCCCCAUCCCAAAUGCCAAUAUUUAUCAGCUACCUGCAUGUUCUCCUUUAGGUGCUGGAUGUGGUGUUUAAAUUGCAGCCACACACUCAUCUCCCACCCUGGCACUCUCCAUGCUCCUUUCUGGUUUUAUUUUUCUACACAAUCCACGUUACCCCCCAACACACUGUCCCAUUUACUUUUGUAGCGGGUUGUCUGUCUCUCCUUGCUGGAAUAGUAGCUUCCCCAGAGCAAGCAUUUUUGCCUGUUUUGGUCACUACUCUGUCCCUUUUUUUCAGCAUAAUAGGUGCUCAGUAAAUACUCAUUGAAAUGAAUGAAAGAAAAGAGACAGUACCCUUACCUCCUCCUUGCAUUCUUAUGGGGGAGGACAUACAUUAAGUAAGCAAGAAAAUACCAGGUAGUGACAAGUAUUGUUAAAAUAAAACCUAUCUAUGAGACAGCAAAGGGAGGAAGGAUGGUUCAAUUUGGGGGACAGUUCUAACUUGAUGAUAUGGCUGUUAACAGGAGAGCCAUGGGACUGCCAUGGAAAUUCCUGGGAUUGUACUCAAAAGAGUUAAGUAUGGUAGCACAGUGAUGCAGAUACAAAGAGAUAAUCAGAUAACAAAUACAGAGGUGACAAAAAUGAUGUUCCCUUCAGAGGGCAUUUUGUUGCCUGAUAAUCAAAUUAGGAAUGCAGUUCUACCCUUUAGGGUAACCAUUAUCUCCAAGAUUUUUCCGCAGUUCUUCCUAGCAGGUAUCAUGGACGUCUGUUGACUUUUACUUGUGUCACUCAUUUCUUUUGAAACUGUAGACCACUUUUGGCCUUUGUCUUGUCUUGGUAGGUACAAUGUUGGUAUUAUAUAAUUGUGGUUAUCCACACAUAGGUGAUAUACUAUCUGUUGUCAGACUAGCUUCCUUCCUAAAUGCUUCCUUGUACCAUUCCAGCAACGUGAUUUUAGGGCAUUCAAGCCCAUUUUAGUAGUGGUCUUAAGCGUAAUUAGGAAGAUAAUUCUGAAACACAUGUGCGUGAGUGCACACCCAGUGUUGCAGUUAAUUUGGGGAUUAUGUUAUAUUCUCUUUUAGGUUUUCCAUGAGUAGCCAUUAAAUAAAAAUUGGCACAAUACUUAGUGAUAUUGCUAAACUGAGUGUAUAACUGGUAUCAAAUAGUUGAAUCAGAUAGUCUUAUUAUGACUUCAUAGAAUCAUAGAAGUCAUAUUAUGAGCUUGUAUUUGAAGAUAGGGAGAGUGCAUGAAAUGAAAGUGCCCUUUUUUAAAGUUUAGAAAUCCUACAUACACAUGUCUAUGCUAAUACAAACAAAAGAAAAAGUGUGAAAAGAUUCACACCAAAUUGUUAGCAGAGCUCACAUCAGAGACUAGGUUUUAGGAGUUGGGGGAAUACUGAUUUUACUUUAGACUCUGGCAGAUACAUGUUUGAAGUUUAUCUAGAAGCAUACAGUAUGUAUGUCAUUCUAAAAAGUGAAAAAAAAUGAAGAACAUUUUAAAAAUUGACCCCAGAAUUGUCCCAAUGUUGAAGUAGUGACUGUAUAUUUUGACUUACUUUACUACUCCUGGUAUUAUAAAUAGGCAUGAACAUUUAAUAAAGCAAUGCAACAUUAUAGUUACUAAAGUAUUGUUUAUAACCUUUGACUAAUUCAGAAGAAAUAAUUCAACUGAGAAAGGGAGCUAUAUUACAUGAAGUUGCAUGUUGCCGGUUUAGCUACAAGCCCCUUCUGUAAGAAGGCUGGGUAGAAAUAAGUAAGCAAGUAAAUAAAUAGCUUACUAAGUUUGUGGAAUAUUAUAGAAUUCUUAGUGAAAUUGUAACUACAGAUAUGUGGGACAUAUAGAAAUGUUUAUGAUUAAAUCUUAAAUGAAAAUGCAGAAUAAAAAACUGUAAGGGAACCAUACUGACAACAUGUAUUCAACCAGUAUGUAUUCUGAUUAAGAUGAAGGCGAUAGGCAAAAUAAAGAUACAUAUCCUAGACUGGAGCAAUUUUAGUUGUAAUUUUACUUUAUAAGUAUAUUUUAAUGUAGGUACAUCUUUUUAAUGAAGUUUGAUUGGCAUUAAAUUGGCAAGAUGGUUUAUACAAGAUAGUACUCCCACAUCAUUCCUUUUUUAAGUUGAAACCAGCAGGUAAGAGCUCUUUCUCUUUGUGCACAGUUGGGUUGUGACAGAUAUUUGUUGGUGACCCUCACUUUCAGGAUUUCCUUCUUGCUGCCAAGUUGGGAGGAAAUACCUCAAAUCAAAAAGGGGAAAGAGGAAGGGACACAGGCACUCCAUUGUGUGUGACUGUGUGUGUAUAUGUGUGUGUUCUAUUGGGUUAAAACGUUGCCUCAGCUUGGAUUAUUUCUAUCCUCAGAACAGUGUUUAAACAUUUUUGGGAGAGAAAAGCUAAAAUGUUUAGACAGCUGCUUCCUUUAUUUUUGUUUUAAUAUACAACUAGUGUUUUUACUACCUCACAGACAUCACCAUGCUUUUAUUACUAGCAUGCUUUUGACUCUGGUAAGGCCCAUAACUUUCUGUUUUUGGUAGCAUUAUUUUGAUAUCAAUCCCUUUCUUCCUUUUAAAAAAAAAUUAUGAGUUUGACCUUAGGAGCCUGAAAAGUGAGAUGACAUAAGAGUAAUUAAUUUCAUAUUUAGUAUACGGUAUGACAGCCUUGAGAUCUUUUUUGGGGGGAGGUGGGUGGAUAAAUGUCCUUUACCUGUGACUUGGCAACACCAAAUAAUCUACUCACUUUGGUUUUUCAGCCUAACACCUCGUCAUUUCUGUGAUUUACUAAUCUCACUGGUUAAUGUAGUAGGACAGGUUAUCUCCAUAGCUCCUUCAGUUAUAGCCUCAAGCUUCUAGUGCUUCCUUUGUGUUCUUGGCCAUUUGCGCUGUUGGCCGUGCUGUGUGCUUUGCUUUCCCUGGAGUCAUUAGACUCCUAUUUUUACAUCGGAUUCUACUUUGGUUGCUGGCAUGACUUUAACCUGGCAGGGCAAAGGGCUUUCUUGAAGGUAACUGUCUCCUCAACCUGUCUGACUUCUACAGUCUGGUCAAGGAGGGACAAAAAUGUCUAAGGGUGCAGCAGCUAGGCUGUUGGAAAACUGUUGCAUUUUUUGAGAUUGUAUAGAACUGAAGUUACCAACCAUUGAUUAACAAAAUAACUUUGAAGUUUAUCUGUGGGCAAAUUUACUGAAAACACAUUUAGGCACUUUCCCUACAUCAAUUAAAAUAAAGCUGGGGUGGAGAGAGUUAAUAGACAACUAGCUACUAUGAUGUUUCCUUUGUAAUGCCACAUGAUCCAUGUAUCUUAGAAGGCAAAAAAAGAGAAAGAAAAGGAAGAAAAUACUGUGGAUGUGCUAACUGAAAUGGUGAGCACCUCCUGGCCUGGAUGCAGUGUACAUGCGGGUCCUUUAUUCAGAAGACAAUAUGCUUGCUAGGAGGCUUCCCUGGACAUCUGAGCUUCAUACUCUUGUGCUCAGAGCCGGGCUGCGUAUCUAAGUGCUUUGCCAACGUUUUGAUCAGAACCCUGUGUUUCCAUGUUGAAUAUUUUCAAAACAAGAUCUCUGUCAAGUUAAGGGCAACAUCGGUUCUUUCUAAAGACUCUUAUCUCUGUUUCUUUUGUUGGGGCAGUGCUAAUGUAUACUUUAAAAGGAGUGCAGAAAAAGGAGUGUGACUUCAUUUGUGUUUCUAAUGCUUAAGUAAAUAUAUUUAAAUACGUUCAAAGUAAUCAAAGAUGUAAAGCUAAUGGCUAUGCCAAAAAUUUUAAACUUUGCUAGAACAAGAUAAAUUAACUAAGAUAUAUCCACUAGUAGCUUUUUUUUUUCUUGCAGUUGCGGGGUUUGAGAAAUGAAAUACGGAUUUGAGAAUGACUUUCUAUUUAAUAGUUAAACAUUAAGUGUUUAGUAAACACUUCCUUGAAGUGUUUUUCCUCUGAUUUUAAGAGAUAUGUUAAAAUUAUCCAUAUACAUACAUUUUUUUGCCCUUUACAUGUAACCUACAACCUGCUGGAAAAAAGAUGUCUUUCACUAGAAAAAAAAGUUCCAGCGACUUUGAAAAGCCUAAAGGUUCAAGUCUCAGCUGUCGAAAGCUGAUCCUGGUCCGCUGCAGCUAAUGCACUCUGCUUGGAGAGGCUGAACCCUGUCACAGGUGACAGCUGACCCACUUACUCAGACCUUGUUAAAGGACCAGGUUCCUCCAGAUUUUCCCUCAAUGGCUUGUCAGAACCAGCUGGGGCUGCUGAAGCUGAAUGCCUUAUGCCUUUUUAUAGCUUUAGUGGAACUAAUCAGCAUUAGAAUAAUGGUUAAAGUGAAACUUUGGCAAAAUUCUGACACACAGAGUAGCUUGUAAUAUAGUAUUUAGAGUACCAUUUCAAAAUGAAGAUAGGGCCUGUAGAUGCUGUGAGUUUGGUUAUAGAGCUCUGUCAACUGUGUAAGGAAGUUUUUGUUUUUGAGUCAGUUUUUUUAGUUUGAUUUUAUUAAAAUAAUCAAAGAUGUAACUUCCAUUCAUAGCAACGCCAUGAUUUUUCUACCUUCUUGGUAACUUUUAUUAGUAUCAUAAAUAUUUCCAGGUGCACAGUUUUAUGACCGAGCUAAUUCGUGAUCCCCUCCAAGAUGUAUGCAUGUGUUUCGAAGGAGUAAGGUGUCUGAGUGACAGCCGUGCCGAGAUUGUGCUUGGCGUUUGUUGUGGUCAUUUGCUUUAAGAUAUACUUAGUGGCUUUAGCACAUUUUCCCUAAAGAACAUAUGCUUUAGCCAUGCAGUUUAGGGUUCGAGUUUAUGCUGUUUUGCUUAUUUUGUGUAAGUUAUCUGCCAGAAUCUUUGUUGAAAGACUGCAAGUUCUUGGUCUGUGUUCUCUUGACUGCUUUUUGAUGACUCACACGACUGUUGAUUAAUGGCACGAUUCAAAGCAGCAGCCACUAAGUUGAGGACCUCCCCUCGUUGACAUUGUGGGUCAAACUUGAUAAUCUUGGGAGAGGUGUUUCCUUGAUCCAGGAAUGGCCAGUGCUCCUGUGUGUUAGAAAACUGUGAAACAAAUAUAUAUCUAUAUUUGGAAUACGCUUAGUUAAAAAAAAGAAAUAGAUUCAGUUAAUUCUUUGAAAUGUGUCUCAUUGUUUCAGAAGUUAUGGAACAUUGGUUUAUGUGAUGUGAUAAGAGCAGGGGGAAAUCUUUGCUUGUUUUCACUUAAGAGGGAGAAGCCAUACAAAAAUAUGCAUUGCAGUAAUUUGAUAUAUGCAGGGGUCAUAACCAUUUCACUCCAUUUCUUUAUAGACUACCAAGUCAUAUUAGAUGCAAAUCUGUUUUGGUGAAAACAUUUAAGUCAUUUACUUUUAAUGGAAGGGAUGGCUGGGAGGUCAUAAACUUCUCUAACACUUGACAGCACUUGACUUCAGGAACACAAGUACAGUAUAAGAAUUUUAAAAAAUAAUCCUCUAUGUCAAAAUUAAUAUUGCAUGAAUAUUGAAUGCCAAAUUUACUUGAAAGCAACCUGUAAAUUCUCUCUGAUGGGUGGACAACUACAGAUGGCUCUGCUGUUAGGUGUUAAACAUUGAGUUUGUGGAGUGUCAGAAUCCUUGUCUAUUGUCAGUGUUUGGAUUUGUAUUUUAAAAAGUGUUUUUUGUUUUCUGGUUAUGAAGAUGCUAAGAGCUUGCUUUUAGCAAGUUUAGAUCUAUUGAUGCACAGGUAUGAUAUUUUAAUCUAUAUAUUUUAAAUGAUGUUUGGUUACUGUUUGUUUAAAAGCAACGGAAUAAAAACAUCUCCAGCUGUGUUGGUUCCAGUCUGUACAGAUGACUAAUCGUGUAGCAGCUUUUUCUAGUGAAAAAUAAAAUUACAAUAAAAAUGCACUUGCUCCCUGAUUUAAAAGUAAAGAAUGUUUCUGUGCGUUAUAGAUUUGGGGAACUUGGACACUGAAAAAGGGUAACCAUGGUGCAAGUACCUUACAAAAUCAAUGGGGGAAAAAAGGAGAUGGUUUGGGGGAAUGGGAAGGGGUUGGUGUAGUAACAGCUUGGUAGGUGAAUAAAUAUUUAAACUUCAUGCCUACUUACUGUGUAAUCAUGAGAUUUUCAGAGUUAUGUUGUAUGUUAUGUUUUAGUUGGUUUCUUAUUUAUCUUGUUUUAAAUAACCUAUUAAAUCAAAUUGAAGUGCGGGUUCAGAAACAAAAGAAGUUACAAGCUUUCUGAGUCUUAAUUUCUUCAUGUGUGAAAAACAGGAAAUCAAAUUAGCUGUUUGCUAAGGUUUUUCCAAGUUCUUAAAUUCCAUGAUUACAAGGAGUCCAGGAGUGGUGGGAGUGAACUCUUAAGUUUGUAAGUGACAUUAACUCCAAGACCUAGAAUCCUUGAGAAUACCCAGAAAUCCUUUGCAAGAUUUCCAAAAAGUUAAUAUUAUGCCUCCUGUUAAGACUC